rnacentral:rRNA from 1 species
GCGCAGCAGGCGCGAAACCUUCGCAAUGCGGGAAACCGCGACGAGGGGACUCCCAGUGCCUACGCUCAGCGUAGGCUGUUCCCGAGCCUAGAAAGCUCGGGGAGUAAGGGCUGGGUAAGACGGGUGCCAGCCGCCGCGGUAAUACCCGCAGCCCGAGUGGUGGCCACUAUUAUUGGGCCUAAAGCGUCCGUAGCCGGCCCGGUAAAUGCCUGGGUAAAUCGUGAGGCCUAACCUCACGAAUUCCGGGUAGACUGCCGGGCUAGGGACCGGAGGAGGGAGAGGGGUACUCCAGGGGUAGGGGUGAAAUCCUGUAAUCCCUGGAGGACCACCGGUGGCGAAGGCGCUCUCCUAGGACGGGUCCGACGGUGAGGGACGAAAGCCAGGGGAGCGAACCGGAUUAGAUACCCGUGUAGU